rnacentral:lncRNA from 1 species
AAUGACCCCUGUGGGCAGGGACCAGGCAGAAGAAUCACAUUUCCCUUGUGCUUGACCCAGCAAUAAAUCACUCUCUAUUCUGUGGGUAUGGUCCAGUUAGAGAGCAGAGUCCCAUCACCUAGGUGCUGGGCCCAGAGAUACGUCACAAUCUCUUCGAUGAACAAAGCCCAGGAAGCCUAAAUGUGCUUGAUCUGAAGUGCCCUAUUCCCCUCAUUGACUGAAAUUGGACCUGUUCUACCUGAUCAGGAAACCUGGACUGCAUUUUUCAAAUUAAUGGUGUCAGCAUGUCUCAGCAAUAAGUACAUUACAAUAAAUAAAUGUAUCAAUCUAAAAAUCUCAUUUGUUCAGAUAUGAUUAGUGGAAGAUAAGGUUUGCCCAAAUUGUAGGAACAUCUGAAUCAUUUUGUUUUUAUUGGAGGCUCAAGGAAAUUAACCAAAUUACCCAAGGUCACCAGCUAGCAAUGUUUCAGUCCAGUUUUCACUUUCUCUCUUCCAAUAUUUCUCUUCCUGCUCAACUCUCUGGGAAAAGUAGGAAAUAUUGAGACAAAGGUGAAAUAAAUUUUAUUAAUAUUAGUUUGCUAGAAUGUGUUCAGCUGCAAGAAACAGAAAAUCUACCAUCUUAAAUCUUAAGGAUAUCAAUCACUUAAUAGUUUAAGUUGUGCAAUGGGUGGUUUAAAAGUUUACUCAAUAUGUUCAUCAAGG